UACGAAGGGGGCUAGCGUUGCUCGGAAUCACUGGGCGUAAAGCGCACGUAGGCGGCUUUCUAAGUCAGGGGUGAAAUCCUGGAGCUCAACUCCAGAACUGCCUUUGAUACUGGAGAGCUUGAGUCCGGGAGAGGUGAGUGGAACUCCGAGUGUAGAGGUGAAAUUCGUAGAUAUUCGGAAGAACACCAGUGGCGAAGGCGGCUCACUGGCCCGGUACUGACGCUGAGGAGCGAAAGCGUGGGGAGCGAACGGG
rnacentral:rRNA from 1 species